AGUGAACGCUGGCGGUAGGCCUAACACAUGCAAGUCGAACGGCAGCACAGUAAGAGCUUGCUCUUACGGGUGGCGAGUGGCGGACGGGUGAGGAAUACAUCGGAAUCUACUUUUUCGUGGGGGAUAACGUAGGGAAACUUACGCUAAUACCGCAUACGACCUACGGGUGAAAGCAGGGGAUCUUCGGACCUUGCGCGAUUGAAUGAGCCGAUGUCGGAUUAGCUAGUUGGCGGGGUAAAGGCCCACCAAGGCGACGAUCCGUAGCUGGUCUGAGGGGAUGAUCAGCCACACUGGAAAUGAGACACGGUCCAGACUCCUACGGGAGGCAGCAGUGGGGAAUAUUGGACAAUGGGCGCAAGCCUGAUCCAGCCAUACCGCGUGGGUGAAGAAGGCCUUCGGGUUGUAAAGCCCUUUUGUUGGGAAAGAAAAGCAGCAGGUUAAUACCCCGCUGUUCGGACGGUACCCAAAGAAUAAGCACCGGCUAACUUCGG
rnacentral:rRNA from 1 species